rnacentral:rRNA from 1 species
CCUACGGGGGGCAGCAGUGGGGAAUUUUGCACAAUGCUCGCAAGACUGACGCAGCCAUGCCGCGUGCAUGACGAAGGCCUUCUGGUCGUAAAGCUCUUUCUACAGGGAGGAAAAUGCCUAUAAGUAACUGUGUAUGUAUUUACGGUACCUGUAUAAGCAGCCCCGGCUAACUCCGUGCCAGCAGCCGCGGUAAUACGGAGGGGGCGAGCGUUGUUCGGAGUGACUGGGCGUAAAGAGCACGUAGGCGGUGUUGUAAGUCAGAAGUCAAAGACUCGAGCUCAACAUUAGAAAUGCCUGUGAUACUAGAAGACUAGAGUAUUAGAGAGGAGUGCAGAAUGCCGGGUGUAGCGGUGAAAUGCGUAGAGAUCAGGAGGAAUACCGAUAGCGAAGGCGGCAACCUGGGCGAAAACUGACGCUGAGGUGCGAAAGCGUGGGGAGCAAACAGGAUUAGAUACCCGUGUAGUC